GAAUCCCGUCUUUGACACGGACUGCCUGUACAUUAUGGUGUGCUCUCGAAGAGUCGAGUUGUUUGGGAAUGCAGCUCAAAAUGGGUGGUAAAUGCCAUCUAAAGCUAAAUAUUGGCGAGAGACCGAUAGCGAACAAGUACCGUGAGGGAAAGAUGAAAAGAACUUUGGAGAGAGAGUUAAACAGUACGUGAAAUUGCUGAAAGGGAAACGCUUGAAGUCAGUCGCGUUGGCUAGAAAUCAACCUUGCUUUUGCUUUGUGUACUUUCUGGUUGACGGGUCAGCAUCAAUUUUGACCACUGGAUAAAGUCUUUGGGAAUGUGGCAUCUUCGGAUGUGUUAUAGCCCAUUGUCGCAUACGGUGGUUGGGAUUGAGGAACUCAGCACGCCGCAAGGCCGGGUUUCGACCACGCUCGUGCUUAGGAUGCUGGCAUAAUGGCUUUAAUCGACCCGUCUUGAAACACGGACCAAGGAGUCUAACAUGCCUGCGAGUGUUUGGGUGGAAAAACCCAUGCGCGCAAUGAAAGUGAAAGUUGAGAUCCUCUUCAAAGGGGGAGCAUUGACGCCCGGACCAGACCUUUUGUGACGGAUCCGCGGUAGAGCAUGCAUGUUGGGACCCGAAAGAUGGUGAACUAUGCCUGAAUAGGGUGAAGCCAGAGGAAACUCUGGUGGAGGCUCGUAGCGAUUCUGACGUGCAAAUCGAUCGUCAAAUUUGGGUAUAGGGGCGAAAGACUAAUCGAACCAUCUAGUAGCUGGUUCCUGCC
rnacentral:rRNA from 1 species